rnacentral:rRNA from 1 species
UGGGGAAUAUUGGACAAUGGGCGCAAGCCUGAUCCAGCCAUGCCGCGUGAGUGAUGAAGGUCUUCGGAUUGUAAAACUCUUUCGCCGGGGAAGAUAAUGACGGUACCCGGAGAAGAAGCUCCGGCUAACUUCGUGCCAGCAGCCGCGGUAAUACGAAGGGAGCUAGCGUUGUUCGGAAUUACUGGGCGUAAAGCGCACGUAGGCGGAUUUUUAAGUCAGGGGUGAAAUCCCAAGGCUCAACCUUGGAACUGCCUUUGAUACUGGAAGUCUUGAGAUCGGGAGAGGUGAGUGGAAUUCCUAGUGUAGAGGUGAAAUUCGUAGAUAUUAGGAAGAACACCAGUGGCGAAGGCGGCUCACUGGCCCGAUACUGACGCUGAGGUGCGAAAGCGUGGGGAGCAAACAGGAUUAGAUACCCAUGUAGUCCCUGAGCGGGCUGGCAAGGCGCAU